GGGCGACGGCGGAUACCGAACUGCCUGUAAACCUACGCGAACGAGAAUGUGUUUAUGUUUACUGUUUGUAUGAAAUUUGUCCAUAUAAAAAUACGUAUAACAUGAAGUUCGUUUGGCAUAGUUUUUUUAUAAUUUAAUUAGGUAUGUUUGGCUCUACAUACAUUUUAGCCUAUACCUUUAUCACAAAAAAGAAAAGUUCAAUUUAGCACUCUGUUGAUUCAAAUGAAUAAGAUGAGAUAAGUUUGUGAUACGAAAAUUUGCAACUUGUUGCUGAAUUUUCAAAGUGUGUUGUGCAUGGAAAAAUUGUACAUUUCGAAGAUGAAAUUAAUAUCCUGCAAUUUCAUUCAGAUGAUGUAUACCUGCUUUUACGGGCUCUUGUUAAUUGAGUAAAACUGGGAACCACCAAAAUAUCGUAGCUGCAUCACCUGAUUUUCGCAUUGAAGACAGAUCUACAAUGAAAAAAGAAAUAACGAUGGAGGUGUUCAAAUUCAUCAUUCUCACGUGGCUCGCAAGCUUUGUACCUGCAGCGUACUGCCAAAUUGGAAAUUUCAGCUCAGAAAAGAUUUGCAACAUCACAAUCUAUCAAGAACCUGGCGUUGUAUUAAACGUAUGGCAAUCAAAACUGAUAGACAGCUGUCCUAAAAGUUUCAAAAAUCAAACUAUUAUUCGACUUUGUGAACAUUUCGAUACCUCGAAGGAUGGUGGUAUAUUCUUAUUUGAACCGAAAACAAACAACAUUACUAAAAUAACCUACAUAAAUAAAUAUUGCGGGUAUUGUAAUAACGAGAAUGAUACCGAUUGGAAUGCGCUGGAUCACUGGAGCUCUUGGGUACAGUUAGGAUUUUUGGAAGACCAGUGCUAUAACUACACAAAAACAAAAAAAAUAGAAACAUUAGAAGUUGAUGACUUUGACAAAUGGACUCAGACUUUCUUCAACAAAGGGAUGAUACUGGAGACGGAAUUUUUCCCCAGAAAGCUGCAGUGCUUUGGGAAAGAGAAUUGGCCAAUAAAGUUAAUAAACCGGGUGAUUCCUUGUUUAGUACAAAAUUAUAUAAAUGGUCAAGGCUACAGAUUGAAGUCGUGUCAAUACUUCGAUAAAAAUGACAGAAGUUGCAGGAAAAUGGAGUUUACUAUUCAAGGGCUCUACUUCGAUUAUCGUUCCAAGUUAUACAAUAAUUUUUCACAAAUAAAUCUACCCGGAGGUGAAUAUGUAGUUCAAACUGGGAACGAUGACGUAUUCUAUAUGUGUAAACAAAUUUACCAAGCUGGAUAUUGGGGUAAACUUUUACGUAUCUUUAUUUCUAUAGCAUUUCUGUGUGCUUAUUUAAUCAUGAAUUUUAAUAAGCGAUAUUUGGAAAUUUUCUCAAACCAACUUUUGUAUGUUUACUCAAUAGGAUUGAUAGUAAUGAGUGUAUUGCUUACCUACAUCUAUCUGAAAUUUCCGGUUUACGGUAUUUCUUUCUAUCUCGCUAAAAUUUUCUGGACUUAUCACUUUCUCUGGACGAUGUUAAUUUUUAUUGUAUUUUGUAAAUUAGCGUUCUGCCUUUGCGAUCGGUGUGUAAAUAUAACCAAAGGGGAUACAAAUGCAUACCAUUCAUUAUUUCUUUUCCUUUUUUUCGUCGUAUUACCCGUAUGCUUACCUUUAAUGUAUCUCAACUUCUUAGAAACUUAUGAGCAUAAGUGCCCUUUAAUUCCUGGGCAUACAGCUGUGAUAGAAGAUGUACCUUCCGGAAAUUUAGAGUAUAUGAGAUUAGUCUUAAUUACGAUCUUUUGGUUAAUGCCUAUUGCCUAUAUUAUUUUUUCCGGCGAUAAUUUGCAUACUGAUUGAUAUGUCAUGUAGUAAUCCUGAUGAUGUGAGAUCUGCAACACCGUCCAGAGGAAAAUCUCCGAUUCUUUUCCUCAAAAUGUUGUUGAUUAUGGGUUUCCAUUUUGUACUGUAUUUACUUUGCUCAGGGUUUUAUGUGAAUGAAAAUACGUACACUGUUAUUGGUCUAUCCAUGGAUACGGUGGCCCAGCUCAGUAUUGAUUUUCACGGUGUGCUUGUAUUUUUUGUUUUCAUAACUGAGAAUACCUGGAUUAAUGAUAUUUUGAUAAAGCAUGGAUAUAAGCAGGGAAAUACUACUCAACAGAAUUGUAAUGGUGCGACAGAAACAACUAUACAAUUUCAGUCUUGAUGUAAGACUGAAGUCAUGUUUUCCUCAUAAGUACAAAGUUUUUAUUUCCAGUAAGUACUUGAUAAGUAUUUUAUUGUUACCUACUGAGUAGGUACAUUUUAUUUUAAGUAAAAAUGUAAUGCCAUGAAGAUGAAUCUAAAAAAGAUUUAAAAAAUUGAAUAGGUAUGUACCUGAUUCUACUAUAGGUAGGUACAGUGAAACCAUUUUUGGAGCCUGAUUAAAACUCAACAGUGUAGGUACCUGAAAAAAAAAACUUUUUAAAUGAUCUCUUGAUAAAUUUCACACUUUUUUUAAAUUACGUGGGCUGUAGAAGAUUUUUGAAUUGAAAUAACCACUCUUCAAUCAUGAAUUUUUCGAAAUGUAACUGUCUAAAAUAAUUUUCAAACAUGUUUUAGAGCUUUUUUCAGACUUGAAGAUUAUAAAAUAAAAAUGUACUCAGGUAUUUGUUUUAAGACACUUUGCAAUAUUCAUUAUUCAUUUGGGUGAUAUUUUUGUACUUAGCUAUGUAAGGAUUUUUGUGCAUAUUUUUGAUUUACUUACAUAUUUUAUUGUAUUGUAUUUUUUUAUUUUUUUACUUUUUUACAAAAAUAUAAUUUAUAAUGCGA